rnacentral:misc_RNA from 1 species
CGGAUUCGUGGAUCUGACAUUCGUCGUUGACUUCUGUCAUUCGCGAAAUUUUCUUCUACCGCCGUAGUGGGUAUUUUUGUUUACCAAUCUCCGGUGACCUUUCCCAGCAUAAAUUGUCCGGAUUUUUCCACAAACCCGUCGUGAGGUCCGCCAGAUAAUCAUCCCUGCGAAUCGAUAGUGAACAGAAUGGGCUCGGAGGACGGCAGCUGUGGAAAAGGCGAGAAAAUCCAGCGCGGAUUCCAAAUAAACUGGAUGAUUCUCCGCGACGCGGACAGCGGGAACAUCAUUUGGCAGGAGAACAAGGACUUCUCGUCGCCAGAUGUUGAGCAUGAGGCGAAAGUGCCUGUGAAAAUCUUAGACCUGCGAGCGGUUUCGCGUGAAAUCAACUUCAGCACGAUCGAGGCGAUGGAGAAUUUCCGAUUGGAUCAGAAAGUGCUGUUCAAGGGCAGGAUAAUGGAGGAGUGGUUUUUCGAGAUGGGUUGGGUGAGCCCCAACACCACCAACACCUGGCAGUCGACCAUCGAGGCAGCCCCCGAGUCACAGAUGAUGCCCGCGAAGAUUUUGAACGGAAACGUGACAAUUGAGACGAGUUUUUACGAUGGCGAGACCUUGAUCACGAAGUCGGUGGUGCGACUCUAUUACAUCUAAGACCAGAAUAAGACUUUUAUUUAAGCUGCUAGACCCAACCGCCAGUUUUUUACUAAUAAGCAAAAACAAUCUAGUCCUUGAUUAACAAAAACACAAUUUGUCACAAUUUGUUUGUUCGUAAAACCUCUGCCCUGACUCCUUGGAACUAACUGGUUCUAUGCAAACCAACAUCUUUAACCGAUGAUUUCCAAUAACGUCCCCAAUAAUUUCUCAACUUCAUACUUGUAACUUAUAAAACUGCUGCAUUUCACCGUUUAUUCGUUCUUGCUGUAUCUCUGCAAACAUUCUCAAAAGAAAAGUGAUAAUAUCAAAAAAUGAUCAUAAUGACGACUCGUCUGUUUCGUUUUAAGACAAAAAGAUCGCCAUCCGUCCAGUACACAAUCAAUUGAAAUCAAAUGGCAAUUUUUAAUCUGCAUGUCCAGGUGCAUUUACAAUUUUAUCUUGUUUGAUAUAUUUUUGAUAAAGUCUUUUUCUUUCUCUGAACAUUGUUUAUGUUUGAAGCUCAUUGAUUAAUUGUAUUCUUGCCGAAGAAUAUUUCAAUCGAAUUGUUGUGAACUUUCUACAUUUUAAGAGUGAAUAAAAAAGCAACGAAAUAAAUUAUUUAAAAGGAACAA